UCAACAACGGAUCUCUUGGUUCUGGCAUCGAUGAAGAACGCAGCGAAAUGCGAUACGUAGUGUGAAUUGCAGAAUUCAGUGAAUCAUCGAAUCUUUGAACGCACAUUGCGCCCUUUGGUAUUCCAAAGGGCAUGCCUGUUCGAGCGUCAUU
rnacentral:rRNA from 15 species